rnacentral:rRNA from 1 species
GAUGAACGCUGGCGGCGUGCCUAAUACAUGCAAGUCGAGCGAACAGACGAGGAGCUUGCUCCUCUGACGUUAGCGGCGGACGGGUGAGUAACACGUGGAUAACCUACCUAUAAGACUGGGAUAACUUCGGGAAACCGGAGCUAAUACCGGAUAAUAUAUUGAACCGCAUGGUUCAAUAGUUAAAGACGGUUUUGCUGUCACUUAUAGAUGGAUCCGCGCCGCAUUAGCUAGUUGGUAAGGUAACGGCUUACCAAGGCAACGAUGCGUAGCCGACCUGAGAGGGUGAUCGGCCACACUGGAACUGAGACACGGUCCAGACUCCUACGGGAGGCAGCAGUAGGGAAUCUUCCGCAAUGGGCGAAAGCCUGACGGAGCAACGCCGCGUGAGUGAUGAAGGUCUUCGGAUCGUAAAACUCUGUUAUUAGGGAAGAACAAAUGUGUAAGUAACUAUGCACGUCUUGACGGUACCUAAUCAGAAAGCCGCGGCUAACUACGUG